rnacentral:rRNA from 1 species
UACGGCGGUCAUAGCGAAGGGGAAACGCCCGGUCCCAUUCCGAACCCGGAAGCUAAGCCCUUCAGCGCCGAUGGUACUGCACCCGCCAGGGUGUGGGAGAGUAGGACGCCGCCGGACAAUCAUUCAACGAAAGGCCCACCCCUGACCGGGGUGGGCCUUUCGUCGUUCCC